AAAACGUAAACAAAUGUAAAUAUCUACAAAUAUUGACGGAAAAAUUGAUGAAAUUUGGUGGCUAUCGAUGACCUAGCCAAGCGCUCCCACCCAACCGUGGAUGCCCUCAAGAUGCUGCAGGGCACACCCUAUUAUCUGUCGGCAGGAGCCCCCUCCUCGCGACUACGACGGUUCCAUCUCCCCCACUGGAAAAACUCACACAUUUUCGGUUUCACAAAUGUUUACUGAAUAUGCCUUUAAGACCGAAACCUGGCCGCCGUCUUCAAUACUUACGCGGUCAAAGCAGAGGAUUUGUUUUGCUGGAAAAGGGUACAGGCGCCGCGGAAAGUUAUGCUCUACCAGUCACUUAUUGGUAGAGCUCGCAUGGAACCACGGCCCUCAAAAGGAACAUACGCGAUGCGCGUGUGUAUGGGCACCUAAUCCUGAGGAGAUCCAGGGGAAAAGAAUGGACAGGCCAAAAAGGCAAACAACGAGGACAAAUAAGGCUCUCGGGUCUAACUCCGCAUACAUUCGCAAUUGAACAGGGAUGUAAAUAUCAAUAUAUUUAAUCAAGGUACACGUGUAUUUAAUUUUUCCUAAAUUUCAGCCGGCCGGCCUUCUCGCCGGAGGCCAGCAGCGAUACGGGUCUCCAAGAAAGAAAACUGGCGCACUACGGUGAGUUGUGCAAGGGCAGUCGGAGGUUCGGCCGCCCGACAAAAUAGCGGUACUUCUCAACGCCGCGAUGCGACGGCUGGAAGUUCCCGAGAUGAGGUGGACGUGGUAGACCGGAACGGACUAACCGGGAAAUGCUUGAUGUCGUCGGCGUCGACUGCGAAGGCGUUUAUGGCUGGUCUUCUAUGCGGGUCGAACGGACACCGGUUGCUGGCAGCCAAGUCGGGGCUGGUACGUAUGGCGAAGUCGCGCAGAUAUCAGUGGAAGUCCCAACACUUCCAGCUGCAUCUGCCUGGUUGGACAAUAUGGCUGCAUUUAUCUGAUAUGCUGCUUAUCUGCUGAUCAUCGAUCCUCCCCCGCCAUAUUUCAUGGCCUCUCUCAAAAUUGGGUCGUUGGAUACAUGGGUCCAUUUAAGGUAAUCCCAGAGCGAACCGGGAUUAAUCCUGAAAUGGCCAGAUCGGCCGCCAGAUUCAUCCCGCCGCUGCAACUAUAGCCCUAUCGACCUAACCUAUCGAUAAAGUCCCUCCCAUUAUCGACUCCAAUUGCAACAUCUAUUAGUACAACGUAACCAAAUUCUUUUGGCCAGAUCUUACUUUCUAUACGAGGACACGCUCGGCAGGAUUUCCAUGUAGAAAGCGAAGUCCCACUCGGAAAGUUCCUUCGCACUGGGACUCUCUAGUGGAUCUCCUCCCGCACUUCAACUAUUCUGCGGACUUGCCCCUGUUGUGGUAUUGCUUCCUGUCGGUGAAAUCCCACAAUAAAGGGCAACAGCUUGGAUUAGGCGUUCUAUUUCAUUUGCACUGACCUCCUGCAGUCGAUUUUGGGGUUUUCCUUCCAUUUUUAGUUUUUAGUUUCCACAUCGCCUUUGCACGAACACCGCCAAAGAUAAAAUUUCUUAUUCUUUUGGCUGCGGCUAAGGGCUUUCAUCGAAAUUCACUCGCUAAAUCUGGUAUUUUUUCUGGGAUUUCCUUAGCUCAUCUGAGUACUGCGCUGAAAAACAGACCCGGCGAAAAGCGUUAGCCGCGUAUUUGCCUCUCGGUUACUCCUAUGGUUAGCUCGCGUUUUUCGUCGAUGUGAGUAUUAAGACACAAUGCAAGAACGAUAUGUGGAACUCCGAUCAGCGUGACCGUGCCGGAAAAAUUGAAGAAUUCCAUUUAUCCGUAAAAAAAAUACUAAAAUAUACUAUUUAAUGUUUCAGAAUAUACCAUUAAAAUACAAUUACAAAUGUGAGAUAAAA